rnacentral:rRNA from 1 species
AACGAACGCUGGCGGCAGGCUUAACACAUGCAAGUCGAACGGGUGUAGCAAUACAUCAGUGGCAGACGGGUGAGUAACACGUGGGAACCUUCCUAGGGGUACGGAACAACUCAGGGAAACUUGAGCUAAUACCGUAUACGUCCGUAAGGAGAAAGAUUCAUCGCCCCUAGACGGGCCCGCGUCGGAUUAGGUAGUUGGUGGGGUAACGGCCUACCAAGCCUACGAUCCGUAGCUGAUCUGAGAGGANGAUCAGCCACACUGGACUGAGACACGGCCCAGACUCCUACGGGAGGCAGCAGGUGGGGAAUCUUGCGCAAGUGGGACGAAAGCCUGACGCAGCGACGCCGCGUGAGGGAU